UGUUUCGGCUAGGGGGCCAUCCCGGCUUACCAACCCGAUGCAAACUGCGAAUACCGGAGAAUGUUAUCACGGGAGACACACGGCGGGUGCUAACGUCCGUCGUGAAGAGGGAAACAACCCAGACCGCCAGCUAAGGUCCCAAAGUCAUGGUUAAGUGGGAAACGAUGUGGGAAGGCCCAGACAGCCAGGAUGUUGGCUUAGAAGCAGCCAUCAUUUAAAGAAAGCGUAAUAGCUCACUGGUCGAGUCGGCCUGCGCGGAAGAUGUAACGGGGCUAAACCAUGCACCGAAGCUGCGGCAGCGACGCUCAGGCGUUGUUGGGUAGGGGAGCGUUCUGUAAGCCUGUGAAGGUGGCCUGUGAGGGUUGCUGGAGGUAUCAGAAGUGCGAAUGCUGACAUAAGUAACGAUAAAGCGGGUGAAAAGCCCGCUCGCCGGAAGACCAAGGGUUCCUGUCCAACGUUAAUCGGGGCAGGGUGAGUCGACCCCUAAGGCGAGGCCGAAAGGCGUAGUCGAUGGGAAACGGGUUAAUAUUCCCGUACUUGGUGUUACUGCGAAGGGGGGACGGAGAAGGCUAUGUUGGCCGGGCGACGGUUGUCCCGGUUUAAGCGUGUAGGUGUGUGUUCCAGGUAAAUCCGGUUCACUUUAACACUGAGGCGUGACGACGAGGCACUACGGUGCUGAAGCAACAAAUGCCCUGCUUCCAGGAAAAGCCUCUAAGCAUCAGGUAACAUCAAAUCGUACCCCAAACCGACACAGGUGGUCAGGUAGAGAAUACCAAGGCGCUUGAGAGAACUCGGGUGAAGGAACUAGGCAAAAUGGUGCCGUAACUUCGGGAGAAGGCACGCUGACACGUAGGUGAAGUGAUUUACUCAUGGAGCUGAAGUCAGUCGAAGAUACCAGCUGGCUGCAACUGUUUAUUAAAAACACAGCACUGUGCAAACACGAAAGUGGACGUAUACGGUGUGACGCCUGCCCGGUGCCGGAAGGUUAAUUGAUGGGGUCAGCGCAAGCGAAGCUCCUGAUCGAAGCCCCGGUAAACGGCGGCCGUAACUAUAACGGUCCUAAGGUAGCGAAAUUCCUUGUCGGGUAAGUUCCGACCUGCACGAAUGGCGUAAUGAUGGCCAGGCUGUCUCCACCCGAGACUCAGUGAAAUUGAACUCGCUGUGAAGAUGCAGUGUACCCGCGGCAAGACGGAAAGACCCCGUGAACCUUUACUAUAGCUUGACACUGAACAUUGAGCCUUGAUGUGUAGGAUAGGUGGGAGGCUUUGAAGCGUGGACGCCAGUCUGCGUGGAGCCGACCUUGAAAUACCACCCUUUAAUGUUU
rnacentral:rRNA from 1 species